AAAAUUUUAGUUUAUAAAAAUAAUUUAUUUACAAUAAAUAGUAUAAUUAAUAUAAAAUUAAUUAAAAUUUUUU
rnacentral:tRNA from 1 species